AUGAACGCUAGCGACAGGCCUAACACAUGCAAGUCGAGGGGCAGCACAAGGAGCAAUCUGAGGUGGCGACCGGCGCACGGGUGAGUAACACGUAUGCAACCUGCCUGUAAGCGGGGAAUAACCCGUUGAAAGACGGACUAAUACCGCAUAAUACUAAAUUACUGCAUGGUAAUUUAUUUAAACAUUUAUGGCUUACAGAUGGGCAUGCGCAUGAUUAGCUAGUUGGAGAGGUAACGGCUCCCCAAGGCAACGAUCAUUAGGGGUUCUGAGAGGAAGGUCCCCACACUGGUACUGAGACACGGACCAGACUCCUACGGGAGGCAGCAGUGAGGAAUAUUGGUCAAUGGACGAGAGUCUGAACCAGCCAAGUCGCGUGCAGGAAGAAUGUCCUAAUGGAUUGUAAACUGCUUUUGCAGGGGAAUAAAGUGCAUCACGUGUGAUGUUUUGUAUGUACUCUGCGGAUAAGGAUCGGCUAACUCCGUGCCAGCCGCUGC
rnacentral:rRNA from 1 species